CUACGGGAGGCUGCAGUGGGGAAUAUUUGGCAAUGGGCGCAAGCCUGACCCAGCAACGCCGCGUGAAGGAUGAAGGUUUUCGGAUUGUAAACUUCUGUCGCGAGGGACGAAGAAUGACGGUACCUCGUAAGAAAGCCCCGGCUAACUACGUGCCAGCAGCCGCGGUAAUACGUGGGGGGCGAGCGUUAUCCGGAUUUAUUGGGUUUAAAGGGUGCGCAGGCGGUCUGUUAAGUCAGCGGUCAAAGCCCGGGGCUCAACCCCGGCCCGCCGUUGAAACUGGCAGUCUCGAGUUGGAGAGAAGUAUGCGGAAUGCGCGGUGUAGCGGUGAAAUGCAUAGAUAUCGCGCAGAACUCCGAUUGCGAAGGCAGCAUGCCGGCUCCACACUGACGCUGAGGCACGAAAGCGUGGGUAUCGAACAGGAUUAGAUACCCCAGUAGUC
rnacentral:rRNA from 1 species